GGGGGAUUAGCUCAGCUGGGAGAGCGUUUGGCUGGCAGCCAAAAGGUCAGCGGUUCGAGCCCGCUAUCCUCCACUA
rnacentral:tRNA from 1 species